rnacentral:ribozyme from 11 species
AAAACAAACAAAAACGACAGAAAAAAGGAAGAAGAAGAAGAAGAAAAGCAUGCAACCAGCGGACUCAAUGCCAGCCGGCCACAAUCGAUUUGGAUGAAUCUGCACUCUCUCUUUUCGUCCUCUCUGUCUCCUUCUGCAUGUCAAUUCGUGAUAAAGCGUGUGUGAUUACAAUUCAAAAAUGCAG